UACGGGGGGGGUAAGCGUUGUUCGGAAUUACUGGGCGUAAAGGGCUCGUAGGCGGCCAACUAAGUCAGACGUGAAAUCCCUCAGCUCAACUUGGAAAUGGCAUUGGAAACUACCUUGCUGGAGGUUUGGAGGGGGGACUGGAAUUCUCGGUGUAGCAGUGAAAUGCGUAGAUAUCGAGAGGAACACCAGUGGCGAAGGCGAGUCCCUGGACAAAACCUGACACUGAGGCACGAAAGCUAGGGGAGCAAACAGG
rnacentral:rRNA from 1 species